rnacentral:rRNA from 1 species
ACUCCUACGGGAGGCAGCAGUGGGAAUAUUGCACAAUGGGCGCAAGCCUGAUGCAGCCAUGCCGCGUGUGUGAAGAAGGCCUUCGGGUUGUAAAGCACUUUCAGUUGUGAGGAAAGGUUAGUCGGCUAAUAUCGGCUAGCUGUGAUCGUUAUGCAACAGAAGAAGCACCGGCUAACUCCGUGCCAGCAGCCGCGGUAAUACGGAGGGUGCGAGCGUUAAUCGGAAUUACUGGGCGUAAAGCGCGUGUAGGUGGCUUGUUAAGCCAGAUGUGAAAG